ensembl:rRNA 5S_rRNA 5S ribosomal RNA
GUCUAUGGCCAUACCACCCUGAAUGUGCCUGAUCUGGUCUAAUCUCAGAAGCUAGGCAGGGUUGGGCCUGGUUAGUACCUGGAUGGGGGAACAAUCUGAUGGUUACCAAAGGGA